rnacentral:rRNA from 1 species
GACGAACGCUGGCGGCGUGCUUAACACAUGCAAGUCGAGCGGUAAGGCCCUUUCGGGGGUACACGAGCGGCGAACGGGUGAGUAACACGUGGGUGACCUGCCCUCAGCUCUGGGAUAAGCCUGGGGAAACUGGGUCUAAUACUGGAUAUGACUCCACGGUGCAUGUCGUGGGGUGGAAAGCCUUGUGCGGCUGAGGAUGGGCCCGCGGCCUAUCAGCUUGUUGGUGGGGNGAUGGCCUACCAAGGCGACGACGGGUAGCCGGCCUGAGAGGGCGACCGGCCACACUGGGACUGAGACACGGCCCAGACUCCUACGGGAGGCAGCAGUGGGAAUCUUGCGCAAUGGGCGAAAGCCUGACGCAGCGACGCCGC